rnacentral:ncRNA from 1 species
UGGUCCCAGCCUUGAAAUCAGUUCUUACUUAAUGUACACAUGCAAGUAUCCGCACUCCCGUGAAAACGCCCUUAACCCCUCCAAGGGGACAGGAGCUGGUAUCAGGCACAAAAAUUAGCCCAAGACACCUAGCUACGCCACACCCCCACGGGCCCUCAGCAGUGAUUAACCUUGAAAAUAAGCGACAGCUUGAAUCAGUUAAAGUAAAAAGAGCCGGCAAAUCUGGUGCCAGCCGCCGCGGUUACACCACGUGGCUCAAACUGACCCCCUUUCGGCGUAAAGCGUGAUUAAAGUAAACACCACAACUGCAAUUAAAUUAGGAUUAGGCUGUGGCACGCUUAUCCUCAAGAAACCCAAAAACGAAAGUCAUUGCAACCAUAACUUGAAUUCACGACAGUUAGGACACAAACUGGGAUUAGAUACCCCACUAUGCCUAACCGUAAACUAUUAAUUACACCACCAAUCGCCCGGGAACUACGAGCAAAGCUUAAAACCCAAAGGACUUGACGGUACCCCAUAUCCACCUAGAGGAGCCUGUCCUAUAAUCGAUAACCCCCGUUUUACCUCACCAUUUUUAGCCUUUCAGCCUGUAUACCUCCGUCGUCAGCUUACCUCGUGAGCGCCAACUAGUGAGCUUAAUGCCCAUUCGCCAAUACGUCAGGUCAAGGUGCAGCACAUGAAGUGGAAAGAGAUGGGCUACACUAUCUAGAAUAGAUAACACGAAAGACCACAUAUGAAACCUGGUCAGAAGGCGGAUUUAGAAGUAAGGAGGGACCAAACUGCCCCCCUUAACUCGGCACUGGGGUGUGUACACACCGCCCGUCACCCUCUUCAAAGCCCUUACCUAUAGUUAAUUACACAAUCCGGCAUCCUAGAAGAGGCAAGUCGUAACAUGGUAAGUAUACCGGAAGGUGUGCUUGGUAA